GGGAGGGGACGUGGGCAAGCAGUUGGGUUGCGACCUGAGGCCGUGGGGACUGGUCAG
ensembl:misc_RNA